UAGUUUGUUUUUAAAAAAAAUUGUUUUUUUUCUUUUUCUAUUUUUUCCCAUCCUCUUGCAUGGUGGGCCAAAUCAAAGGUCAUCACGGGCCAAAUUUCUGCUCCAUGUAAAUCCUCCCUUGUUGCUUUUUUGUCAUUUUGGAGCUCAACUGACACAGUCCCCUUUCAUUAUAUAAAAGGAGUGCCCAGUUCUUCUGAAGGAAGAUGUUCCUGCAGAAUUUAGCUCCAUCACACCUGCCUAGAUGUUUUUAAUGACCCUAAACACUUUAAUUAGCUCGUUCAGGUGUAUUUAAUUAAGCUUGCAGCAAAACUGUCCUCAUGAGAAGGAUUGGACAGAAUAUAAUUCAAAAAGUGAAGAACACAAGAAAAUAGGAACAUCAUGAGGCCUCAACAUUUUGCCAUGCUGAGAUUUCAUCAUUUGCCAGAUUUUUUUCGUGUGUAUAAAUGAGUGCAGUUUGCUGUGGAUGUGAUGACAGCCGUAAAAUACUGCUGUAAUGAAUCUACUGAUAUGAGACUUUUGAAAGCUAGUGUGUUCAGUGUUCCCACCACAUUCCUCUUGAGGUGGUCUGGUGUGUUUUCAGUUCAUGUAUGUUCUGUUUUUGGCGUGGAUUGCAAUUUCUGUUGAUGAUUAUCUCUGAGUUUCAGAAUGUCCACUCAUUGUUUAGUUUCUCUGAGGUUUUGGCACAUAUUAUUUGUCAGUUUGUCAUGUUUUUCUGCAUCGGCUGGUUUGAGUUCUGUGUGGUCUCAACCAAAAAUGAAAGCUCUGUCAUUAUUUAUUUACUUGAGGGUGAGUAAAUGUUGACAGUAAUUUACAUUUUUGGCCAACUGUCCCUUUAACGUGUGUUUCCAGACUAUAAACAUUUGAUUCACUUAUUCUAGCGUUGCUUUCUGUAUUUAAACUAAUGCAGUGUGUCAGGACAUUUUUAUAGGAAGUUUUUUUUUUUUUUACUGUCUGGUCAUGCAUGAUAUUUUGAGAUUGGUGACAUGAAUGUUUAUGACCAUUUUUACACAAUUUAAACAUGUAAUGCAUUAUUUUAGAUAUUUUACAGUGGGAAAUAUGUUCAGAUUGAAGAUAAUGUCUUUAUAAGCAUUGUAAGAAAAUAAGGUCAUUAGAGCACAAUGAGUAUUUGCAUUAUUUCUUUAAAAGACGUGGUAAAGCAGAAA